GUAUUUCUUUUAAUUCAAGUGCAAACACCGAUAAUGAUUGGUUGUUGGUUUCUUAACGUUCAGUGGCACAUAUAUCAUGCAUGCUCAGGACGAAUUACGUUCACUGAUAUACUUAGAAAGACUAUUCAGUGAAGAAAAUAAUCAUUCAAUAUAUAGUACUUUCUGUUUACCUAUAUGGCUCAAAACAAUUAAACGGUUGAUAUUAUUAGAAAAUCUAUCUAACGGAAAUUACAAAACAGACAUUUAUAAAAAAAAAAAAAAACUGAA
rnacentral:lncRNA from 1 species